ACAGAGCAUGCAGCAGCGGUGACAGAGGUCUGCAGAGCGGCGAUCUUUGUGAAGAUUUAGAACCAGAUUACUGAACUUUUAUGUCAAAUUCUCCACCAGGACUUCUGACCAAAUAAAAUUGGAGUCAGAACAUCUUCAAAAAUAACAGAAUUUUUACAUCAAAAUUUCCCUCAGUUGACAGAAAAAUGCCACACUGUUUUGCACAAACUUGUGCCCACCGCAGCGGUAAAAAAAGUACUGCUGAAAAUAUUUCCCUUUUUAUCUUUCCUAAAGAUAACAAACUAAUUAAAGCUUGGUUAGAAAAAUCAGGAAUGGACCCAAAAAUUAUUGAUGAGUUCACAAAACUUGUACAUGAAGAUCGUCGUGGAGAUAUAUACCGAAUGUGUUCGGUGCACUUCAAUAAUGAGUGCUUUGUUAUGCAAGGUACAAAAAGAAAACUGAAACCAGAUGCAAUACCAACUCUAUUUCCACAAACUGCAACAAACAAAUAUUCAGAAGAAAACUGGGAAAGAAUACUGACCAAAAGAGCAAGAACUGAAUUCAUGAGAGCGGUAAUGUCACAAUCAGAUUCAAUCAGCAAUAUUAUGUGCAACUGCCAAUGUCACCAAUCCACAAAACCUAAAAGUGUCCAACAUGCAGAGGUUGGUACACAAACUGAACACUUUGACUUUCCCUCAGCAGAGUCUGAGGAAAGUUAUAUUAAAUUAGCAAACAAACGUUCCAUGAUUUUGGAUCAUUCGUAUUCGCUUUCUAAACAAGAAACCAGAAACCCACCAGAGAGAUGUCUUGUGGAUUCCACACAGGAAGGUCACACCAUCCCCCACCAU